rnacentral:rRNA from 1 species
UGGGGAAUAUUGGACAAUGGGGGCAACCCUGAUCCAGCAAUGCCGCGUGUGUGAAGAAGGCCUUCGGGUUGUAAAGCACUUUCAGUUGGGAAGAGUGUUGGUAGGUUAAGAGCUAACUAACAGGACAUUACUGACAGAAGAAGCACCGGCUAACUCUGUGCCAGCAGCCGCGGUAAUACAGAGGGUGCAAGCGUUAAUCGGAAUUACUGGGCGUAAAGAGUGCGCAGGUUGUAAAUUAAGUGUUAUGUGAAAUACCUGGGCUUAACCUAGGAAUUGCAUAAUAGACUGGAAUACUAGAGUCUUGUAGAGGAUAGCGGAACUCCCGGUGUAGCGGUGAAAUGCGUAGAUAUCGGGAAGAACAUCAGUUGCGAAGGCGGCUAUCUGGACAUAGACUGACACUGAGGCACGAAAGCGUGGGGAGCAAACAG